AGUCACUGACAUUAGAUACCCCCGUAGUCCAGGGUGUAAACGCUGCAGACUUGGUGUUGGAGGCCCUUUGGGGGCAUUCAGUGCCGGAGAGAAGUUGUUAAGUCUGCUACUUGGGAGUACGUCCGCAAGGAUGAAACUUAAAGGAAUUGGCGGGGGAGCACCGCAACGGGAGGAGCGUGCGGUUUAAUUGGAUUCAACACCGUAAACUCACCAGGGAAGACUGUUACAUGAAGGCCGAGAUGAAGACUCUGCUAGAUUUUCAG
rnacentral:rRNA from 1 species